GAUGAACGCUAGCUACAGGCUUAACACAUGCAAGUCGAGGGACCGGCGCACGGGUGAGUAACACCUAUCCACCCAGCCCUUUACUCGGGGAUAGCCUUUCGAAAGAAAGAUUAAUACACGAUAUAAAGGAUGGGGAUGCGUUGCUUUAGGUUGUUGGUGAGGUAACGGCUCACCAAGCCUUCGAUGGAUAGGGGUGAUGAGAGGAAGGACCCCUACGAUGGAGCUGAGACACAAUCCAAAUGCGUACGGGAGGCAGCAGUUACGGGUAUUAGGAAAUGGGAGCAAGCCUGAACCGGCCAAGUGGCGUGAAGAAUGAAGCCUGAGGGGUAUGAAGCUUCUUGUAUAGAAGAAUAUGUAUUAUAAGAAGAAGUAUCGGCUAACUACGUGCCAGCCGCCGCGGUAAUAC
rnacentral:rRNA from 1 species